AACGCGAAGAACCUUACCAGGGUUUGACAUCCCGCGAAUUUCUUCGAAAGAAGAGAGUGCCUUCGGGAACGCGGUGACAGGUGUUGCAUGGCCGUCGUCAGCUCGUGUCGUGAGAUGUUUGGUUAAGUCCAUCAACGAGCGCAACCCCUUUACUUAGUUGGAUUUUUCUAGGUAGACUGCCCCGGUAACGGGGAGGAAGGAGGGGAUGAUGUCAGGUCAGUAUUACCCUUACACCCUGGGCUAGAAACACGCUACAAUGGCCGGUACAAAGGGCUGCCAAGUCGCGAGACGGAGCAAAUCCCAUCAAAACCGGUCCCAGUUCGGAUUGCAGGCUGAAACUCGCCUGCAUGAAGCCGGAAUCGCUAGUAACGGUAGGUCAGCACACUACCGUGAAUACGUUCCCGGGCCUUGUACACACCGACUGUAC
rnacentral:rRNA from 1 species